rnacentral:rRNA from 1 species
AUUGAACGCUGGCGGCAGGCUUAACACAUGCAAGUCGAGCGGAGUGAUGGUGCUUGCACUAUCACUUAGCGGCGGACGGGUGAGUAAUGCUUAGGAAUCUGCCUAUUAGUGGGGGACAACAUCUCGAAAGGGAUGCUAAUACCGCAUACGUCCUACGGGAGAAAGCAGGGGAUCACUUGUGACCUUGCGCUAAUAGAUGAGCCUAAGUCGGAUUAGCUAGUUGGUGGGGUAAAGGCCUACCAAGGCGACGAUCUGUAGCGGGUCUGAGAGGAUGAGCAGCCACACUGGGGCUGAGACACGGCCCAGACUCCUACGGGAGGCAGCAGUGGGGAAUAUUGGACAAUGGGGGGAACCCUGAUCUAGCCAUGCCGCGUGUGUGAAGAAGGCCUUAUGGUUGUAAAGCACUUUAAGCGAGGAGGAGGCUCUUUUGGUUAAUACCCAAGAUGAGUGGACGUUACUCGCAGAAUAAGCACCGGCUAACUCUGUGCCAGCCGCCGCCGUAACAC